rnacentral:rRNA from 1 species
CCUACGGGUGGCUGCAGUGGGGAAUAUUGGACAAUGGGCGAAAGCCUGAUCCAGCCAUGCCGCGUGUGUGAAGAAGGCCUUCGGGUUGUAAAGCACUUUCAGUGGGGAAGAAAGCCUUGGGGCUAAUACCCUCGAGGAAGGACAUCACCCACAGAAGAAGCACCGGCUAACUCCGUGCCAGCAGCCGCGGUAAUACGGAGGGUGCGAGCGUUAAUCGGAAUUACUGGGCGUAAAGCGCGCGUAGGCGGUCUGAUAAGCCGGUUGUGAAAGCCCCGGGCUCAACCUGGGAACGGCAUCCGGAACUGUCAGGCUAGAGUGCAGGAGAGGAAGGUAGAAUUCCCGGUGUAGCGGUGAAAUGCGAAGAGAUCGGGAGGAAUACCAGUGGCGAAGGCGGCCUUCUGGACUGACACUGACGCUGAGGUGCGAAAGCGUGGGUAGCAAACAGGAUUAGAUACCCGAGUAGUC